rnacentral:rRNA from 1 species
GACGAACGCUGGCGGCGUGCUUAACACAUGCAAGUCGAGCGAUGAAACACCUUCGGGUGCGGAUUAGCGGCGAACGGGUGAGGAACACGUGAGGAAUCUGCCUUCCACUAUGGGAUAACUCCGGGAAACCGGGGCUAAUACCGGAUACUUUCAACUGGCGGCAUCGCCGGUUGAGGAAAGUUUUUCGGUGGAAGAUGACCUCGCGGCCUAUCAGCUUGUUGGUGAGGUAAAGGCUCACCAAGGCGACGACGGGUAGCCGGCCUGAGAGGGCGACCGGCCACACUGGGACUGAGACACGGCCCAGACCCCUACGGAAGGCAGCAGUGGGGAAUAUUGGGCAAUAGAGGAAACUCUGACCCAGCGACGCCGCGUGAGGGAUGAAGGCCUUCGGGUUGUAAACCUCCUUCAGCAGGGAAUAAGCGAAAGUGAAGGUACCUGCAGAAGAAGCACCGGCUAACUAUGUGCCAGCCGCCGCCGUAA